AAGUCGUAACAAGGUUUCCGUAGGUGAACCUGCGGAAGGAUCAUUAGUGAAACGUUUUGUGGAUCCUCAUGCAACUUAACAUGAGUUGACUCCCAAACACCCUCUCACUAUCCUACACCGACAAAGGUUUGGGAAAGGGGGUUGUAGUAAUACACUUCCUUUCCUCUUCUGGCGUCGAGGGUACUCCAAUUAUAUCUGCUAAUAAGGGACCUUGGGAUGGGUAACGUCUUUGGUGGUCUUUGGAUUGAAAGGAUGCCCGCAAACUUAAGAGGGAGUGUUCUUUACACUCUUCUUCUUAUUUUUUUUUUUUGAAUCAAAAGUUAAUGUAUGUUGUUGUUUUUUUAUUAUAACAAAAAUACAACUUUCAGCAACGGAUCUCUUGGCUCUC
rnacentral:misc_RNA from 1 species